rnacentral:lncRNA from 1 species
GAAUUUAGAAGCUGCAAAUGUUUAUGUGGAGCUCCAUUAAGUGUAUUGUACACAUUUCAAGGUUUUCCAAUGCAUCUUACAGGACAGCAAAACUAUCAGGUUGUGUUCAAGCUAUGAAAAUUGUUGUGUAGAAUAUGUGAAACUGCUACUCCUAUUUUAAGACUGUUCUUUAUUUGAUAUACACCAUACUGAUAAUACUAAGCUCCUAAAUUGCUUGGAAGAAUAUCCUUGUACCUGCUGUGCUUCCUGCCAAUUACCAUGCAAUAGGUCCUUGAAACCUAAGUGGACGUGGAGAAAGUAUUUGCAACUUGCUCAGUCUUAUUCCCCAUUCUGCUUCAGUUACCCAUUUGUUUCUUACCUUUCUCCCUUUCAAAAUCUUUCUUUAAUGAUCCUUGUACCUGCUGUGCUUCCUGCCAAUUACCAUGCAAUAGGUCCUUGAAACCUAAGUGGACGUGGAGAAAGUAUUUGCAACUUGCUCAGUCUUAUUCCCCAUUCUGCUUCAGUUACCCAUUUGUUUCUUACCUUUCUCCCUUUCAAAAUCUUUCUUUAAUGAUCCCUGUGCUGAAUCAUUCUUCCAUCUGAAUGCAAGAUGUUUGCAAUCGGACAGUGUAUUUUAUCAACGGUAUCCUGACAGACACUGUACCUAUAUAGUCGAUUCAUAAGGAUGCUGAAAUGUUUGAUUUAUAAUCUAUUUAUCAUAUAUUGAUUGACAAUAGGAUGCCUCAGCCAUCUGGUUUUCUUCAUGUUUCUUGUCAGUUUGUUUCAAGUAAGCUACACACAGAAAUCAAACUUCAGGAGUUUACCAACUAUUAUUGCUUAAUUCUUGAGAAAUUGGAAUAUGUGCUUGACGGAAUUUCUGGAUAAAGAGUUUUGUAAAUUCAACUAUAUAUUAGAAGUGAGAAGGACAAGAAUUAAAUAAACUGAGUAUUGAUAAAAGAAGAUUGUGCCCCAGAGCCCUAAUAGUUAGAGCGUAACACAUGAUGUGUAGGUUAGGCGCACGCAGUUUGAGCCCUGCCGCAAAUAGAAGCUUGGUAUUUAAGUGGAGAAGGGUUGAGCGCCAAGCCCAUUAUCCGCCGAGUUCAGAACCGCGCCCCACUAUCUCCCGAGGAUAUCUUUAUCUUUUCUUUUUUUUUUUCAAAAAAGAGUUAAUAAGAGGAGAUUUUACUGUAUGUCUGUGCACAUGUGUACAGUCUGAUGUAUUAUUUGGAUGGUGGACUUGUCCCACUUAAGAAGAUCUUUUUCAUUAACCUAGAAUUGUUAUGUGUGUGUCUCGGCUAAUAAAAAAAAUAUUUGUGUUUUUUUUAACCUCUUUAAUUGCCAUAUUGCGUAACCAAUACUCCAUUUUGUUCCUGUCAUCUAUGAUCUCAUUACAAGCUGUUUCUAUUAUUUUUUGCCUCGUUUUCUCUAGCCUCUAACUCCAUAGAGACUGGAAAGUAAAUAAAAUAUAUUAUUGAUUGCUGCUGAUAAUUUCUUGGGAAUCCUAAUGUUAACACUCUUAAAGUAUUCAUCAUGUGUAUCUGCCAUCAUUGAGAUGCCCCCAGUACUACUUGGUACACAACCCAAAUGUUAUUGGCAUAUUUUGUCUUUUAUCACAUGGUAACCAUUCGUUUUGAUCAAGAUGUUCUGUUUUGCAGGUUGAAGCAGCUGUUUCUGAGAGGGAGAAGCUAUUGCUGGUCAAAAUAUCUGAGCUUCAGGCUAGGUUAGCCCGCUGCAGAGACAAAUCAACUGUGGUCAUGCUUCUCUCAGUUCUAUAUACUAUUUUUAAUUGAAGAACUGAUCUUCUCUCUACUUUGCAGGAUGAUUAAUUUGACAGAUGAAUUAACUGCAGAAAAAUUAAAAUACUGGCAGGUAAGUGCA